rnacentral:rRNA from 1 species
CCUACGGGUGGCAGCAGUGGGGAAUAUUGCACAAUGGGGGAAACCCUGAUGCAGCGACGCCGCGUGAGUGAAGAAGUAUUUCGGUAUGUAAAGCUCUAUCAGCAGGGAAGAAAAUGACGGUACCUGAUUAAGAAGCCACGGCUAACGACGUGCCAGCAGCCGCGGUAAUACGUAGGGGGCAAGCGUUCUCCGGAUUGACUGGGUGGAAAGGGAGCGUAGACGGCAGCACAAGUCUGGCGUGAAAUGCCGGGGCUUAACCCCGGAACUGCUUUGGAAACUGUGCAGCUAGAGUGCAGGAGAGUUAAGUGGAAUUCCUCGUGUAGCUGUGAAAUGCGUCGAUAUUAGGAGGAACACCAGUGGCGACGGCGGCUUACUGGACUGUAACUGACGUUGAGGCUCGAAAGCGUGGGGAGCAAACAGGAUUAGAUACCCCAGUAGUC